UACAGAGGUGACUAACGUUGUCCGGAAUUAUUGGGCGUAAAGGGCGCGUAGGUGGUUCGGUAAGUCAGGUGUGAAAGCUCUGGGCUUAACCCAGGAAUUGCAUCUGAUACUGCCGGGCUUGAGUACGGUAGAGGAGGGUGGAAUUCCCAGUGUAGCGGUGAAAUGCGUAGAUAUUGGGAGGAACACCGGUGGCGAAGGCGGCCCUCUGGACCGAAACUGACACUGAAGCGCGAAAGCUAGGGGAGCAAACGGG
rnacentral:rRNA from 1 species